GUCCGCGUAGCUCAGUGGUAGAGCAUUGUACUUAUGGGUUGCCUCUUCCCCGGCGCAUGAGAUAUGCAAGGGUCUCCAGUUCAAUCCUGGGCGUGGACA